AUUGAACGCUGGCGGCAGGCUUAACACAUGCAAGUCGAGCGGGGAAAGGUAGCUUGCUACCUGACCUAGCGGCGGACGGGUGAGUAAUGCUUAGGAAUCUGCCUAUUAGUGGGGGACAACAUCUCGAAAGGGAUGCUAAUACCGCAUACGUCCUACGGGAGAAAGCAGGGGACCUUCGGGCCUUGCGCUAAUAGACGAGACUAAGUCGGAUUAGCUAGUUGGUGGGGUAAAGGCCUACCAAGGCGACGAUCUGUAGCGGGUCUGAGAGGAUGAUCCGCCACACUGGGACUGAGACACGGCCCAGACUCCUACGGGAGGCAGCAGUGGGGAAUAUUGGACAAUGGGGGGAACCCUGAUCCAGCCAUGCCGCGUGUGUGAAGAAGGCCUUUUGGUUGUAAAGCACUUUAAGCGAGGAGGAGGCUACCGAGAUUAAUACUCUUGGAUAGUGGACGUUACUCGCAGAAUAAGCACCGGCUAACUCUGUGCCAGCAGCCGCAGUAAUAC
rnacentral:rRNA from 1 species